UACAGAGGUCCCAAGCGUUGUUCGGAUUCACUGGGCGUAAAGGGCGCGUAGGCGGUGCGGUAAGUCACCUGUGAAAUCUCCUGGCUCAACUGGGAGCUUGCAGGCGAAACUGCCGUGCUGGAGUGUGGGAGAGGUGCGUGGAAUUCCCGGUGUAGCGGUGAAAUGCGUAGAUAGUCGGGAGGAACACCUGUGGCGAAAGGCGG
rnacentral:rRNA from 1 species